GACGAACGCUGGCGGCGUGCUUAACACAUGCCAGUCGAACGGAAAGGCCUGCUUUCCCUUGUGGAUUGCGGGUACUCGAGUGGCGAACGGGUGAGUAACACGUGAGUGAUCUGCCCCCAACUUGGGUAUAAGCCUGGGAAACUGGGUCUAAUUCCCGAUAGGACUGCAGGGUGGUGCCUGUGGUGGAAAACGAUUUUCUAGUGGUUGGGGAUGAGCUCGCGGCCUAUCAGCUUGUUGGUGGGGUAAUGGCCUACCAAGGCGGCGACGGGUAGCCGGCCUGAGAGGGUGGACGGCCACAUUGGGACUGAGAUACGGCCCAGACUCCUACGGGAGGCAGCAGUGGGGAAUAUUGCACAAUGGGCGGAAGCCUGAUGCAGCGACGCCGCGUGGGGGAUGACGGCCUUCGGGUUGUAAACUCCUUUCGACCGCGAGGAAGCCACCUGGUUGGAAGGGUGGUGACGGUAGUGGUAGAAGAAGCACCGGCUAACUACGCG
rnacentral:rRNA from 1 species